rnacentral:rRNA from 1 species
AAACCGCGAAUGGCUCAUUAAAUCAGUUAUGGUUCACUAGAUCGUACAGUUUACACGGAUAACUGUGGUAAUUCUAGAGCUAAUACGUGCAAUCAGCUUGCUCUCUCGGGAGCAAGCGCAGUUAUUAGAAUAAAAACCAAUCCGGCCCUUGGGUCGGUACAAUUGGUGACUCUGAAUAACCGAAGCGGAGCGCAUGGUCUCGUACCGGCGCCAGAUCUUUCAAGUGUCUGACUUAUCAGCUUGUUGUUAGGUUAUGUUCCUAACAAGGCUUCAACGGGUAACGGGGUAUCAGGGUCCGAUACCGGAGAGGGAGCCUGAGAAACGGCUACCACAUCCAAGGAAGGCAGCAGGCGCGCAAAUUACCCACUCCCGGCACGGGGAGGUAGUGACGAAAAAUAACGAUGCGAGAGCUCUAAGCUCCUCGUAAUCGGAAUGGGUACACUUUAAAUCCUUUAACGAGGAUCUAUUGGAGGGCAAGUCUGGUGCCAGCAGCCGCGGUAAUUCCAGCUCCAAUAGCGUAUAUUAAAGUUGCUGCGGUUAAAAAGCUCGUAGUUGGAUCUGGGUAGCUGGAUGGAUGGUGUGCCUUGCGGUAUUACUGUCUGUUCGGCACCACAAGCCGGCCAUGUCUUGUAUGCCCUUCACUGGGUGUACUUGGCGACCGGAACGUUUACUUUGAAAAAAUUAGAGUGCUCAAAGCAGGCGUACGGCCUUGCAUAAUGGUGCAUGGAAUAAUGGAAUAGGAUCUCGGAUUCUUUUUUGUUGGUUUUCGGAACUCGAGGUAAUGAUUAAUAGGAAUAGACGGGGGCAUUCGUAUUGCGGCGUUAGAGGUGAAAUUCUUGGAUCGUCGCAAGACGAACUACUGCGAAAGCAUUUGCCAAGAAUGUUUUCAUUAAUCAAGAACGAGAGUUAGAGGUUCGAAGGCGAUCAGAUACCGCCCUAGUUCUAACCAUAAACGAUGCCAACCAGCGAUCCGUCGGUGUUUUUAUCAUGACUCGACGGGCAGCUUCCGGGAAAC